AGACAGAUGCUUCCUUGUACAGCCGUUCCUGGAGACUAAGCAGUUUGAAGUUUCCAAAGAUGAAAACACUGUGCGUGGAGACGAGUAACCAACGUGGCGGAUGUACUUGAAACCGCUGAGGGACCUGUGGCCACUCGUCCUGGAAGAGAGAAAACGUGUGCCCCAAAGAGCACUGUGAUCAUCUGGGUCCAGAUUUCCUGGACAUAGGGUGUUUGUUGAAGCCAAGUGAACUAUGAAGCCAAGGAAAGACGGAAUAGAAUACUGGCUGUCCAGUCAUAAGGACAGUGAAAAGGAAGACCAUAGCAGCUCAUGUGGCUCCAUGUCAAAGAGCCCCAAAAGGAGAGCGAUGGCAAGAGGGUGGAGGUGUCCAGGAGACUGCCAAGCAUGGAGGGAGACAUCCACCUAGAGAGGACGGCUGGGGAAUGUUCUACUGCUGUGGCUGAAGGAGACAUUGCUGUCCCUUUCUGAGGUGUUCUUCAGAGGUGUAAGAGAAUAAUUAAACCUGGAAGAGGGAAGAGAAGAGUAUGCAUUCAGGGCUCCCUUCAGUGGUUGUGCAUAUUGUGUCCUGGACAACCAUAGGCAGAGCGGGUCUUACAGUGACUGUAUGAAUCUUGCUCCCUGGAGUUAAGCAUUCCAUAUUCUGCAUGGAGCUAUGCCAUUUCCCUGCAUGGAUUACACAGCCCAGGCUACCCAGCUUCAUCUCUGACCUCCUACUCUGAUCCAGCCAGACGUUCCGGGUGUUGCUGCAUCCUCACACUUCACCUGACCUAUACGCCGCUGUUGCUUUGCAGAAAGUAGGAGAGUAGUCGCUGAGUCAGCCCUGCAGGGAGGAGCGUGUAAGGAACAUGGAUUAUUCAUGGGGCCUGUGCACUGUUCCAGAAAGUGGCAAGAUUGAUGGGCUGUCACUCCUGAGAGUAGGUUAUAAAGGACUAUGACUUCCAUAUUGCUGACACUUUCUCUCACUCUCCCUGUUUACUCACUCUGAAGAAGAAAUCUGCUUGUGGAGAAAGCCUCAUGGACAGGACCUGGCUAACAGGAACUGGAACCCUGAAGAUGUUCAUCUCCUAUUCUAGGAAAUUUACAUGGUAAAAGGGACUUUUCAGAUGUGAUGAGCUCUACAGACCUUAAGAUGGGCAGAUUUCCAUAGGUUAGCCACUUGCCCUGAUCUAAUCACAGGUCCUUAAAAGUGGAGAAUAUUUUCCAGCUGUGAUAAGAGAGAAAGAGAGAUGGGACAGUGGAAGAAAUGUCAGAGAGCUGGAAAGUGAGAAGGACUACACCUGUGGCUGCUGACUUGGAAGACAGAGAAAGUGGGCCAAGAGCUAAGGAAUACAGGCGGCCUCCAUGAACUGAAAAAGACAAAGCCACAGAUUCUCCCCUAGAGCCUCCAGAAUGGAAUACAGCCAUGUUCACACCUUGAUUUUAGCCCACUGAGACCCAUACUGGAGUAUGUCAUUCAGAACUGUAAGGUAAUAAAUUUAUG